rnacentral:rRNA from 1 species
CAAAGAGAAGCGAAGCGGUGACGUGGAGCAAACCUCAGAAAAGCCAAUCUCAGUUCGGAUUGUAGGCUGCAACUCGCCUACAUGAAGUUGGAAUCGCUAGUAAUCGCGAAUCAGAAUGUCGCGGUGAAUACGUUCCCGGGUCUUGUACACACCGCCCGUCACACCACGAGAGUUUACAACACCCGAAGUCAGUGGCCUAACCGCAAGGAGGGAGCUGCCUAAGGUGGGGUAGAUGAUUGGGGUGAAGUCGUAACAAGGUAAC